rnacentral:lncRNA from 1 species
AUAUUAAGCUAUCUUUGAAGCAUGCAUUGUCAAACUCAUUACCUUAUAAUUUUUAUUAGCCUAAGGUAAUUAAAAGACAAGGUUAAUAAAAAAUAUUAAAUAUCUACCAAUUCAGAUUCUAACACCAGUAUAAUGACACAGAAUUUAACAGUACUGUUUUCUACCCACGUUACUGGUCCCUUGUCUUAUGUCUAUAACUAUGCAUGUCGCAUCUCUC